rnacentral:rRNA from 1 species
CGCGUGCCGGCGACCGGCGCGACGGGUGAGUAACACGUAUGCAACCCUGCCCGUGGCAGGGGGAUAAGCGGGGGAAACCCCGUCUAAUACCGCGUAACGCGGCCUUGGGGCAUCCCAAGGCCGCCAAAGGGAGCAAUCCCGGCCACGGAUGGGCAUGCGGCGCAUUAGCUAGUCGGCGGGGUAACGGCCCACCGAGGCGACGAUGCGUAGGGGUUCUGAGAGGAAGGCCCCCCACACUGGUACUGAGACACGGACCAGACUCCUACGGGAGGCAGCAG